CAAAUGUCUGAGCAUUUCAGGAUGUUGGAAAAUGUACAAAGAGGGCCAACACUGAAUCUGGACAGAUCAGCAUAGGAUCGUGAAGGAUCCAAACAGAGGAGGAAGCAGGGAUAAAGAAAAGCAUUUGAAACUUCACUUCUGUGAAAUGCUCUGCUGCGAAUUGUUGUGUGUGCGAAGUGCUAAGUGACAGAGAACCACCAGUUUUGAAGAACUGUGGGACAUCACUGAUGUGUGC